rnacentral:rRNA from 1 species
AGGAAGUAAAAGUCGUAACAAGGUCUCCGUUGGUGAACCAGCGGAGGGAUCAUUGCUGGAACGCGCUUCGGCGCACCCAGAAACCCUUUGUGAACUUAUACCUAUUGUUGCCUCGGCGUCAGGCCGGCCUCUUCACUGAGGCCCCCCGGAGACGGGGAGCAGCCCGCCGGCGGCCAACUAAACUCUUGUUUCUAUAGUGAAUCUCUGAGUAAAAAACAUAAAUGAAUCAAAACUUUCAACAACGGAUCUCUUGGUUCUGGCAUCGAUGAAGAACGCAGCGAAAUGCGAUAAGUAAUGUGAAUUGCAGAAUUCAGUGAAUCAUCGAAUCUUUGAACGCACAUUGCGCCCCCUGGUAUUCCGGGGGGCAUGCCUGUUCGAGCGUCAUUUCAACCCUCAAGCCUGGCUUGGUGAUGGGGCACUGCUUCGAAAGGAGCAGGCCCUGAAAUUCAGUGGCGAGCUCGCCAGGACCCCGAGCGUAGUAGUUAUAUCUCGCUUUGGAAGGCCCUGGCGGUGCCCUGCCGUUAAACCCCCAACUUCUGAAAAUUUGACCUCGGAUCAGGUAGGAAUACCCGCUGAACUUAAGCAUAUCAAUAGGGGGAAA